CAGCCGUAAACUAUGCGCGUUAGGUGUAUCGGUGACCACGAGUUACCGAGGUGCCGAAGGGAAACCGUGAAACGUGCCGCCUGGGAAGUACGGUCGCAAGGCUGAAACUUAAAGGAAUUGGCGGGGGAGCACCACAACAGGUGGAGCCUGCGGUUUAAUUUGGAUUCAACGCCGGACAUCUCACCGGAUAAGACAGCUGAAUGGUUGUCAAUCUGAAGGUUUUACAUGACUAGCUGAGAGGAGGUGCAUGGCGUCAGUGACU
rnacentral:rRNA from 1 species